rnacentral:rRNA from 1 species
UACGUAGGGACCGAGCGUUGUCCGGAAUCAUUGGGCGUAAAGAGCGUGUAGGCGGCCACUUAAGUCCUGCGUGAAAUCUUGCGGCUCAACCGCAAGCGGUCGUGGGAAACUGGGUGGCUAGAGUGCGGGAGAGGAGAGUGGAAUUCCUAGUGUAGCGGUGGAAUGCGCAGAUAUCAGGAAGAACACCCGUGGCGAAGGCGGCUCUCUGGACCGCAACUGACGCUGAGGCGCGAAAGCGUGGGGAGCAAACAGG